UACGAAGGGGGCUAGCGUUGCUCGGAAUCACUGGGCGUAAAGCGCACGUAGGCGGAUUGCUAAGUCAGGGGUGAAAUCCUGGAGCUCAACUCCAGAACUGCCUUUGAUACUGGCGAUCUUGAGUCCGGGAGAGGUGAGUGGAACUGCGAGUGUAGAGGUGAAAUUCGUAGAUAUUCGCAAGAACACCAGUGGCGAAGGCGGCCACCUGGACGGUAACUGACCGCUGAGACGCGAAAGCGUGGGGAGCAAACAGGAU
rnacentral:rRNA from 1 species